rnacentral:tRNA from 1 species
GUCCUUGUAGCUUAUAUAAAGCAUGGCACUGAAGAUGCCAAGAUGGCUGUCAUACCCACCCAAGGACA